rnacentral:rRNA from 1 species
CACGUAGGGGGCGAGCGUUGUCCGGAUUUAUUGGGCGUAAAGAGCUCGUAGGCGGCUCGGUAAGUCGGGUGUGAAAUUUCGAGGCUCAACCUCGAAACGCCACCCGAUACUGCUGUGGCUAGAGUCCGGUAGGGGAGCGUGGAAUUCCUGGUGUAGCGGUGAAAUGCGCAGAUAUCAGGAGGAACACCAGCGGCGAAGGCGGCGCUCUGGGCCGGUACUGACGCUGAGGAGCGAAAGCGUGGGGAUCAAACAGG